CUAAAUAUAUAUAGCAUUUUUUAUGAUUUCUUUGAAAACAGGUGAAACAGCGCCCCUCUGGGUCUGUGUGGUCAAAAGGGGGCGUUACACCCACAUUAACCGAAGUGACGCCAGGUGAAAGUUCAUGUCACUUAAUUGAAAAGCAAUUAAGCGUCAAACGGUGAAAAACGACCGUUACAGCGCUGAGAAACUGUGACACGUCGCUCUGAAGUGAAACCUGUCGAGAAACCACAGGAGAAACAAAGGAAAGCCACCAAACAAAAGAAACCCAGCAGAGACAGAGACAGAGAGAGGAGAGGAGCACCUGCUAACAAACAGGUGGACAUUAAACAUGAGGGACACUUCGUCUUCAUGAGAGACAGGAGAGAGGACUUAUACUUCAAAUAUCCGUCGCACGUUUCGGCAAGACCAACAAACAAAAGUCACUGACGUCACCAGGUGAUUACGCGUCAACACAGCUGUAAAAUCUGCUAUUUUAAGAGCCGGUCGUUGUCCGGAGGAUUCACAGCGAGCGAGCGAGCGAGCGAGUGAGCGUGUUGCUCUACCCAGGCGCCCAAACUAAAUGAAGUCCUUCCAGCAGCCUCGUCCUCGUCAGUGUAAAAGUGGCGGAGGGAGAGAGUGGAAAACAAUGUUGUCAAGCGAGAGAGAGGAAGAAAGAGAACGGCAGAGAGUCAAAGAAGAAGAAUGAUUGAGGAAGCGAGCCUGAAAGAGAAAGAGAAGAGGAGGAGGAGGAGAGUCUUCUCAGAAGGCUAAAAGGAUUAGUCCUCUCAUCUCUCCUGGAUCACAAUGUUUCCUGGGCUAUGUUUGAUGAGCGAUUGUGUGUGUGUGUGUGUGUGUGUUGUUGUGUGCGUGCGUGUGUGUGUGUGCAUGAGGGAGAGAGAGAGAGAGAGAGAGAGAGGGAGAGAGAGUGAGAUGUUUGCUCUGAUAUUGACGCUGCCUCAUCCUGAUCCUAUUACACGGCAAUAAACAUCAGCU